GCAUGUUUUCUCCUAUAUAUUACAAUAAAAUUCGAUGUCUAGUAUGCUCAAGAUCAUCUGGUCUGUUUUGAGCCAAUAGCUGCUACAUUUGUUCAGUCAUAAACUCCUAAUGUUACUUUCCAUUCUAUUUCCUUAUGAUUUUUUUAUUGUCUCACUAUCGAGUAUGUAACAGUUUUGCUCUCUAAUUUGUUUGUCCAUACCCUUUGAUUUAAUCUCUUUCAUUAUUUUUUGAUUUAAUAAGAAUUGAACAAACAUCACACGUUAUCACUCAAUGUAAGAAAUUGAAUAAUAUUCUUCCAAAUGAAGUGGUACUAUUCCCUUCCAUAUUUUGUUGUUGUAUGCACAUCAACCUAUAAAUUAAAUAUUGGUCAACACCUAUUUGAGGUCUGAUUUUUUUAGUUUGCAAUCCAUCUUCAGUAGGAGCAAAAUUCAAGAUUCGAGAUCUACGAGAGAUGCAAGAGCUUUUGUUCUAAUCAAGGGACCAAUGAUCCGUUGCAUGGAAAUUACACGGAAUAGGAUCAGCACAACAAGGAGGCUGCAGCAGGACGUUAAGGUUAUCAAUAAAGGCAAGAAAUUCUACUUAUUCUUCUGAAUAAAGAGGUACUGUUCCCUGCUGUUACAUUAUUGAAUAAUUGCAUAAUCCUUUGGUUUUUACUGUUAUGGAGAUGAUGAUGACUCUGCCCAUUUUUCUCAAACAUCUGAAAUGGUUACACUUAACUCCUUGUUAUUUUCUUACUAUACAAUUUUGUGGUGAUGCAUCAUUGAGCACUUGCACUUAAGAGUAUUGACAUUGGUACUGUGAUUUGAGCCUGACUUGCAAGAAGCCUCUAAUAUCUCAUCAAUCCAGACUGUUAGGUGAUAAAUAUUUCUACCUAAUCCAGAAGCAUGUGGUUAGGUUGUCAUUUGAAUGGAUUUUUUCAGUUGCAUGGUUUGUAUAAAUCUGAGAUAUGAUUCUAUCACAAAUUACUCCAUUAUUUUUUCCAUAUAGCUGUAAAAUUGGGUAACUUUGCUGUGACAAAAACAAGUUGUGUAUAUAUGCCACUGUUAUUGCGAGAAACUGAGAUAUCAGAUCGAUUAUGCUUAUUAUAUCUUAUAGAUAUUGUUCCUGUUUGUUGUCACCUUUUUGUAUCAAAGUGUUGACACUUGCACCUUUUUUUAUGCGAGACACUUGCACUUUUGUACAAGUUCAUUUAUGUCCACUGCAGGGUAACCUUGAAGAGAAGCUUGCAACUUAAGCUGUAACCAAACAUUAUGAAAAGAGGUCUCACGCUGUGAAUAUUUAGUUGAUGCACUAGUGAUUUUAGAUGUUGCACCUCUGUUUUCAUUCUCUUUUGAUUCAUGUAUGUAAAUUUGAUGGAAUUGUAUCCGAUGUAUGUGAAUUUGUAACUCCAUGGUUGAUGGAAGCUAUUGAUAGCGAUGUUUCUUUGUUCUAAACAAUCAGAGUAAUAAAAUAGCUAUGCGUAAGACCA